rnacentral:lncRNA from 1 species
UAAUCUGAACAUAAACACACAAUUCAUUGGAUCCCAACAAAUGCACCGCACAAAAGGAAUUACAUUAUAUGGAUCAAAGCAAAAAUGCGAUGAUCGUUGUAUUGAAGAACAAAGAGAGAGAGAGAGAGAGAGAGAGAGAGAUAUUUCCAUCUAUAUACUGCCAUGGACCCGUAGGUGUGGUGUGAACUACUCACACAUCCUUGUGACGGCACCAAGGUUGAUGAAGAGGCAUGUAACGACCAAGAUGCGACACUUUCCUUAUUUGGGGGCGAGGCCUCAAAAAGGGGAAAGGACGGCAUCUAAGCAUCCCGCAAGAAGGAUAAAAACGCCAUUACAUAAAUAGAGAGAUGAGUAUAAGAUUUGGCUUACACUCACCACAUGCUAAAUUACAAUCCACACAAGCGUUCAUUAUUCAUACAUAAGAUAGGGUGCGACUACGGAUAAGAUAAACGGCAAAAUAUGCUAUCCCAUCUUGCUAGUCCCACGAUCAUGACCAUGCGCCUCUAGUCCUCGGGAUAAGUCGCAUACAUCCUGCCACUGUCCUCAUCGAACUCCCACUUCAGCUGGUUGUCAUCGGAACUCCUGCAUCUGAGGUACCUGUACCUGUGGGUGUUUGUAGUGAACUGUGAGCCACGAGGGCUCAGCAAUCACAUGGCCUUGGUAUCGAGUCUAACUUAAGUUAAAUGGGUGAGGUAGGUUAAGUGUUUGGCUUUGCAGCAUCCUAAGCACAUAUGGUGGCUAUCUUACGAUGAGCAGCAAUUAAAUAUGGUGGUCUACGCAAGACGGUCGAAGAGUAAGUUGACCACUAAGUGAUCCUGAACACCUACUUAUGUCAUUCAUAACCCCACCGUGUUCUCGAUAAGAGAAGGACUCUGAAAGAAACAGUCACGGUUAUUGAUACGUCUCAAACGUAUCUAUAAUUUUUGAUGGUUUCACGCUGUUAUCUUGUCAUCUUUGGAUGUUUUAUGUACCUUUUAUAUCUUUUUUGGGACUAACUUAUUAAUUCACUGCCAAGUGCCAGUUCCUGUUUUUUGUGUGUUUUUGGCUCUUUUCAUAUUUGAUUUUGGAACGGAGUCCAAACGGAAUAAAAUCCCCGAAAUGAUUUUUUCCCAAACGGAAGAAGAUCAGGGGGCGUGUGGGCCAAGCCAGGAGGGCUCCUAAGAGCCCACAAGCCCCCACUCCGCCACCAGGGGGAGCCAACGGUGGCAGGGCUUGUGGCCUCCCUGGCCGCCCCCUGACCUAGAUCUUUGGCCUAUAUAUUCCCUAAAAUACAGCAAAAAAUUAGGGGAGCCUCAAAAAUACUUUUCCGCCGCCGCAAGCUCCGUUUCCGCGAGAUCUCAUCUAGAGACCCUUCCCGACACCCUGCCGGAGGGGACUUUGGAGUUGGAGGGCUUCUUCAUCAUCAUNNNNNNNNNNNNNNNNNNNNNNNNNNNNNNNNNNNNNNNNNNNNNNNNNNNNNNNNNNNNNNNNNNNNNNNNNNNNNNNNNNNNNNNNNNNNNNNNNNNNNNNNNNNNNNNNNNNNNNNNNNNNNNNNNNNNNNNNNNNNNNNNNNNNNNNNNNNNNNNNNNNNNNNNNNNNNNNNNNNNNNNNNNNUCCGAUGUAAUCUUCUUUGGCGGUGUGUUUGUCGAGAUCCUAUGAACUGUGGAUUUCUGAUCAGAUUAUCUAUGAUAUAUAUUUGAGUCUUUGCUGAUUUCUUAUAUGCAUGAUUUGAUAUCCUUGUAAGUCUCUCCGAGUCUUGGGUUUUGUUUGGCCAACUAGAUCUAUGAAUCUAGCAAUGGGAGAAGUGCUUGGUUUUGGGUUCUACCAUGUGGUGACCUUUCCCCGAGAUAGUAGGGGCAGCAAGGCACACAUUAAGUAGUUGCCGUCAAGGGUAACAAGAUGGGCUAUGUCGUCGAUAUGAGAUUGUCCAUCUACAUCAUGUCAUCUUGCUUAAGGCGUUACUUUGUUCUUUUGAACUUAAUACACUAGAUGCAUGCUCGACAGCGGUCAACGUGUGGAGUAAUAGUAGUAGAUGCAGAAACUAUCGGUCUAUUUGUUUUGGACGUGAUGCCUAUAGAUAUAAUCAUUGCCAUAGAUAUCAUCACGACUUUGUGCGGUUCUAUCAAUUGCUCGACAGUAAUUUGUUCACCCACCGUCUACUUGCUAUCAUCAGAGAAGCCAGUAGUAAACACUACGCCCCCCGGGUCUAUUCACAUCCCUCGUUUACACCUCCGCUUUUACUUUGCUUUGUUACUUUGUUGCUGUCAGUUCUCACUUGGCAAACAAUCUAUAAGGGAUUGACAACCCCUUGAUAGCAUUGGGAGCAAGCUUUUGUGUUUGUGCAGGAUCUUAUGAUACUCCUCCACUGGAUUGAUUCCUUGGUUCUCAAACUGAGGGAAAUACUUACCACCGCUGUGCUACAUCACCCUUUCCGCUUCGAGGGAACACCAACGCAAGGCUCCAUAGCCGUAGCAGAAGGAUUCCUGGUGCCGUCGACACGACUAUUCCUGUCGUCGUUGCCGGGGAAGCACAUAUGACAUCAGAAGUAUUUCUGGCGCCGUUGCCGGGGAGGAGAGAUCAAUAUCUAUCCAAGUAGGUCUCACAAACUCAUCUCUUGCAUUUACUUUUGUUGCCAGUUGCCUCUCGUUUUCCUCUCCCGCACUUCACAUUUGCCAUUUUCAUUUGCCUUUCUCCUUCGCCGUUUUCUUUUGCCUUUGUUGUUUCCCUUUGCCGGUUUUCUUGCUUGCUUGUGUGCUUGUUUGUUUGUUGAAGUCAUCCUGGCUGAAAACACCAAACUUUGCAACUUCUCGAGCACUAAUAAUAAUGAUUUUAUUAGUACUCCGAUUGCUCCCGCCACUAAUGCGGAAUCGUAUGAAAUCAACGCAGCUUUGCUGAAUCUUGUUAUGAAAGAGCAAUUCUCUGGCCUUCCUAGUGAAGAUGCCGCAUCCCAUCUCAAUACCUUCAUUGAGCUUUGUGAUAUGCAAAAGAAAAGAGAUGUGGAUAAUGACGUGAUUAAGUUGAAACUUUUUUCCUUUCUCGUUGCGAGAUCGCGCAAAAAUUUGGUUUUCUUCUUUGCCUAAAAAUAGUAUCGAUUCUUGGGAUAAGUGCAAAGAUGCUUACAUAUCCAAGUAUUUUCUGCCGGCUAAGAUCAUCUCCUUACGUAACGAUAUCAUGAAUUUCAAGCAACUUGAUCAUGAACACGUUGCACAAUCUUGGGAGAGGAUGAAGCUUAUGAUUAGAAAUUGUCCCGCUCAUGGCUUGAGUUUGUGGAUGAUUAUACAAAUCUUUUAUGCUGGCUUGAAUUUCGCUUCUUGCAAUAUCUUGGACUCCGCCUCAGGUGGAACGUUCAUGGAAAUCACGUUAGGAGACGCUACAAAACUCCUAGACAAUAUCAUGACCAACUACUCUCAGUGGCAUACUAAAAGGUCGACUGCUAGCAAAAAGGUGCACGUUGUAGAAGAGAUUAACUCGCUUAGUGCUAAGAUGGAUGAGUUGCUGAAUUUGGUUGCUAGUAGAAAUGCUACUGUAGAUCCUAAUGACAUGCCACUAUCUUCUUUGAUUGAGAGUAGCAACGCUAGUUUUGACGUGAAUUUUGUUGGUAGGAACAAUUUUGGCAACAACAAUGCUUUUAGAGGAAACUAUGUUACUAGGCCUUUUCCUAGUAACUCCUCUAACAAUUAUGGCAAUUCCUACAACAACACUUAUGGAAAUCACAACAAAUUACCCUCUGAUUUAGAGAGUAAUAUCAAAGAGUUCAUCAACUCUCAAAAGAUUUUCAAUGUGUCCACAGAGGAAAAACUACUCAAAAUAGACGAUUUGGCUAAGAGCCUUGAUAGGAUGUCUUGUGAUAUUGACGCUUUGAAAGUUAGAUGCGCUCCUCCCAAGGUCAACUUGGAUCAAACUUUGAAAGCUAUGUGUGUUUCCAUGAAUGAGAGCAAAGAAAGAACCGCCCAAGUUCGCGCUAGGCAUGAAUGGUUUAAAAGGAUGCGUUCUAGUGAUGCAAAUCACGAAGAUCUUAAAGUGCUUGGUGUAUCUCCUCUUGAAUCUUUGUUUUCGCGUGUCAAACCUAUUUACGGAGGCGUUGGAUAUGAAUCCACUUUGGUUGAAAAAUGCCCCAAUGAUUCGGAGUCCACCUAUCUUGAUGAUAAAGGUGUGGAGAGUGGAGUAGAAGAAGUCACAAUUUUGGGUAAUAAUGAAACUCCCACUUUGGAUUUCAAGGAAUUCAAUUAUGAUAAUUGCUCCUUGUUUGAAUGCAUUUCUUUGAUGCAAUCCAUUGCAAACUCUCCACAUGCUUAUAGCCAAAGCAAAGCCUUUACUGCGCAUAUCGUAGAUGCUAUGAUGAAAUCUCUUGAAGAGAAGCUCGAACUAGAAGUCUCUAUACCUAGAAAACUUCAUGAUGAGCGGGAACCUACUAUCAAAAUCAAGAUCAAAAACUAUGAGUGCAAUGCUUUGUGUGAUUUGGGUGCUAGUGUUUCCACGAUUCCAAAGUCUUUAUGUGAUAUUCUUGGUUUUCAUGAGAUUGAAGAGUGUUCUCUUAAUUUGCAUCUUGCGGAUUCUAUUGUCAAGAAACCCAUGGGAAGGAUCAAUGAUGUUCUUAUUUUUGAAAAUAAGAACUAUGUACCCGUGGAUUUCAUUGUACUUGACAUAGAUUGCAAUCCUUCAUGUCCCAUUAUUCUUGGUAAACCUUUCCUAAGGACUAUUGAUGCUAUCAUCGAUAUGAAGGAAGGGAAUAUUAGAUUUCAAUUUCCUUUAAAGAAGGGAAUGGAGCACUUUCCUAGAAAGAAAAUAAGAUUGCCUCAUGAAUCUAUGAUGAGGGCUACUUAUGGUUUGAGCACCAAAGAUUACUAUACGUGAUUCCAUCACUUUUUGCCUAGCUAAGGGCGUUAAACAAAAGCGCUUGUUGGGAGGCAACCCAAUGAAUCUAUCCUUUUUAUUUCUGUUUUGUGUUUUCCACACUUUCAUAAUUCAGUUAUGAUUGUGUUUUUUGUGUUUCUUUUUGCGUUUGUGCCAAGCAAAACCGUUAUGAUUAGUCUUGGGGAUGAUCGUUUCGUCAUGCUGGAAAAGACACAAACUUUCUGCUCACGAAAAGAAUUUUCAUUUUUUUCUUCUUUAAGAGCUUUUGAGAUGAUUCUUUUUUAUUCUGAUUGCUAUGCAAAUUCUUCAGACUGUCAUAAUUUUUCAGAAUUUUUGAAGUACCAGAGGUCUAUGAAAUAUACAGAUUGCUACAGACUGGUCUGUUGUUAACAGAUUCUGUUUUUGUUGUGUUGGUUGCUUAUUUUGAUGAAACUAUGGAUAGUAUUGGGGGGUAUUAGCCAUGGAAUAUUGAAGAUACAGUAACCCAACAUCAGCAUAAGUAGAACUUAAGUUUGCUACAGUACCUAAGGAAGUGGUGGUUUGCUUUCUCAUACUAAUGUUAUCACGAGUUUCUGUUUAAGUUUCGUGUUGUGAAGUUUUCAAGUUUUGGGUGAAGUUCUUAUGGACAAAAAGAUAAAGAGUGGCAAGAGCUCAAGCUUGGGGAUGCCCAAGGCACCCCAAGAGAUUCAAGGAUGCCAUAAAAUCCUAAGCUUGGGGAUUCCCCGGGAAGGCAUCCCCUCUCUCGUCUUCAAUCCAUCGGUAACGUUACUUGGGGCUAUAUUUUUAUUCACCACAUGUUAUGUGUUUUUCCUUGGAGCGUCUUGUAUCGUAGGAGUCUUUUUUUGUCACAAUCAUCCUUGCUGCACACCUAGAGAGAGAUACAUGCACUCACCAUGAUUUUGUCGAGCUUCACUUAUAUCUUUUGGUAGACAAUUCAGCUCACAUGUGUUUCACUUAUAUCUUUUGACCUAGAUAAUUUUGCUCUGUGUGCUUCACUUAUAUCUUUUAGAGCACAGCGGUGCGUGGCUUGGUAGUUGAUCUAUGCUUUGAAAGUAGUCUCAAAAGGGGUAGUUAUCCAAAGGGAUACGAAAACUUCCACCUUCAUGUGCAUUGAAUAAUUAGAGAAGUUUGAUUCAUCUCAAUUAGUUUUGAGUUGUGGUUAUGGUAAUAUUGAAGUCAUGCUAGUAAGGUGUUGUGGAUCUAGAAAUACUUGUGUUGAAGUUAGUGAUUCUCGUAGCAUGCACGUACGGUGAACCACUAUGUGAUGAAAUCUGAGCAUAAUUAGUAUAUUGAUUGUCAUCCUUUGCGUGGCGGUCGGGAUCGCGCGAUGGUUUAUACCUACCAACCCUUCCCCUAGGAGUAUGCGUUGAAUGCUUUGUUUCGAUUACUAAUAAAACUUUUGCAACAAGUAUAUGAGUUCUUCAUGACUAAUGUUGAGUCCAUAGUUUAGAUGCACUUUCACCUUCCACCAUAACUAUCUUCUUAGUGUCGUGCAACUUUCGCCGGUGCACAAAACCCACCAUUAGCCUCCCUCAAAACAGCUACAUACCUACCUACUAUGGAUUUUUCAAAGUCAUUCCGAGAUAUAUUGCCAUGCAACUACCACCAUGACAUGUGUCACCACUUCUACAUUGCCAUUGCAUGAUCGUAAGAUAGCUAGCAUGAUGUUUCCAUUAAUGUCUAUGCCAUGCUAGAUCAUUGUCACGGUACACUACCGAAGGCAUUCCAUGUAGAGUCAUCGUUGCUCUAAGUUUUGAGUUGAAAGUGUGAUGAUCAUCAUUGAUGGAGCAUUGUCCCAUGUGAGGAAAUAAAAGAGGCCAAAUAUGCCCACCAAAAAAGAAAGAGGCCAAAGAGCCCACCAAAAAAAAUUGAGAGAAAAAGAGAGAAGGGACAAUGCUACCACGUUUUCCACACUUGUGCAUAUUAAGCACCAUGAUCUUCAUGAUUGAGAGUCUCUCGUUUUGUCACCACCGUAUAGCUAGUGGGAAAUUUUAAUUAUAUAACUUGGCUUGUAUAUUCCAAUGAUAGGCUUCCUCAAAAUUGCCUUAGGUCUUCGUGAGCAAGCAAGUUGGAUGCACACCCACUAGUUUUCUUUAAGAGCCUUCACAUACUUGUAGCUCUAGUGCAUCAUUUGUAUGGCAAUCCCUACUCAUUCACAUUGAUAUCUAUUAAUGAGCAUCUCCACAGCUCAUUGAUAUGCCUAGUUAAUGUGACUAUCUUCUCUUUUUUUGUCUUGCAACCUCCACCACAUUCCACACCAUUUAUAGUGCUAUAACCAUGGCUCACGCUCAUGUAUUGCGUGAGAGUUGAAAAGGUUUGAGAAAGUAAAGGUGUGAAACAAUUACUUGGCCAAUACCGGGGUGGUGCAUGAUUUAAAUUCAUUGUGCAAUGAUGAUAGAGCAUAGCGAGACUAUAUGCUUUUGUAGGGAUAACUUUCUUUUGGCCUUGUUAUUUUGAAAGUUCAUGAUUACCUUGCUAGUUUGCUUGAAUUAUUAUUGUUUCCACGUCAAUAGCAAACUAUUGUUUUGAAUCUAAUGGAUCUGAACAUUCACGUCACAUAAGAGGAGUUACAAAGGACAUCUAUUAUAGGUAGCAUGAAAGCAUAAAAAAUUCAUUCUUUUAUCACUUCCCUACUUGAGGACGAGCAGGAGUUAAGCUUGGGGAUGCUUGAUACGUCUCAAACGUAUCUAUAAUUUUUGAUGGUUUCACGCUGUUNNNNNNNNNNCGCAAAAAUUAGGGGAGCCUCGAAAAUACUUUUCCGUCACCGCAAGCUUCCGUUUCCGCGAGAUCUCAUCUGGAGACCCUUCCCGGCACCCUGCCGGAGGGGACUUUGGAGUUGGAGGGCUUCUUCAUCAUCAUCAUCGCCCCUCCAAUGACUCGUAAGUAGUUCACUUCAGACCUACGGGUCCGUAGAAUGUAGCUAGAUGGCUUCUUCUCUCUCUUGGAUCUUCAAUACAAAGUUCUCCAUGAUCUUCAUGGAGAUCUACGUGAUGUAAUCUUCUUUGGCGGUGUGUUUGUCGAGAUCCAUGAAUUGUGGAUUUGUGAUCAGAUUAUCUAUGAUAUAUAUUUGAGUCUUUGCUGAUUUCUUAUAUGCAUGAUUUGAUAUCCUUGUAAGUCUCUCAGAGUCUUGGGUUUUGUUUGGCCAACUAGAUCUAUGAUUCUUGCAAUGGGAGAAGUGCUUGGUUUUGGGUUCUACCAUGUGGUGACCUUUUCCAGUGACAGUAGGGGCAGCAAGGCACACAUUAAGUAGUUGCCAUCAAGGGUAACAAGAUGGGCUAUGUCGUUGAUAUGAGAUUGUCCAUCUACAUCAUGUCAUCUGGCUUAAGGCGUUACUUUGUUCCUUUGGACUUAAUACACUAAAUGCAUGCUGGAUAGCGGUCGACGUGUGGAGUAAUAGUAGUAGAUGCAGAAAGUAUCGGUCUACUUGUUUUGGACGUGAUGCCUAUAGAUAUAAUCAUUGCCAUAGAUAUCGUCACGACUUUGCGCGGUUCUAUCAAUUGCUUGACAGUAAUUUGUUCACCCACCGUCUACUUGCUUUCAUGAGAGAAGCCACUAGUAAACACUAUGGCCCCCGGGUCUAUUCAUAUCCAUCGUUUACACCUCCGCUUUUACUUUGCUUUGUUACUUUGUUGCUUUCAGUUCUCACUUGGCGAACAAUCUAUAGGAUUGACAACCUCUUCAUAGCGUUGGGAGCAAGCUCUUGUGUUUGUGCAGGAUCUUGUGAUACUCCUCCACUGUAUUGAUACCUUGGUUCUCAAACUGAGGGAAAUACUUACCACCGCUGUGCUAUAUCACCUUUUCCGCUUCGAGGGAACACCAAGGCAAGGCUCCAUAGCCGUAGCAGAAGGAUUCCUGGUACCGUCGACACGACUAUUCCUGUCAUCGUUGUCGGGGAAGCACAGCUGACAUCAGUUAUGCACUCAGUUGGCAAGUUUUAUUUGAAUUACUUUAAAUUGCCUAGAACCGGAUGUUAACAAAAUAUCCAUGUUUGCCACAUAACCGCGGGCACGACUUUCCGAAAGAUUAAACCCUGAAGGGGUGCUCCAACUAGUCCAUCACAGAUUACCAGAGGCCGCAUAGUAAUCCUCUACCACGAAACUCGUUAUCUCAUCGGAUUCCUUAGAGAAAAACCUCAACUCUGAGAAGUCCCAAAGUCACACCGGAAUCCCAAUGCGCAAGAUAUAUAGCUAAGGUAAGACAAGUCCAGCAAGACCUCCAGACUUGUCGACGAACCCGAUAGGAGCCUCGUAUCUCGUUCUCAGUACACGACGAAUGGGAAAGCCAACAGGAAACCAAACCUCGAGUUUCCUCACGGUGGCCCCACGGUCUGCCCAUUUUGGACCAACACUCAUGAGGAGCAUUGGCCCAGGGGGGUUGAUUAAAUUCCUCGGGGUAGCUAUUACCUAUGCCUUUUAUUAUUAAGUUAUUAGCAAGUUAAAACCAAAGUUGGUUCCUGCCAGACAAGUCUUAACACUAAACAAUUUAUCGAGGGGGUCCCCAUAACAACCCCGAACGUGUUAGGAGCGCUCAGUUAUGGAAUAAAACACCAGUAGCCGAAACUAAGGCGGCAACAACGGAACAAAUCACCCGUCAAAAGGCUAGGCCUUCCGUUAUUUACCAAGUAUAUAGGUGCAUUAAUUAAAUAACAAUUAAUAUAAUGAUAUCAAAUUCCCCAUGUUAUCACAUGGACCAGCUAGCACCUCCAACUAGCAACGCUAACAAUUAGUGGCUGAGCAAGCCUAACCUAGCCAAACAAUAUUUGUUAGGAGGGGAGGUGUUUGAGGUUUCAUGGCAGUGUUUGAUGGCCUAUAUCAUGUGGUAGGCAGCGGAGAUGUAACAAAGGAAACGUAACACUAAGCAUAGCAAACAUAGAAACGAUGUCAAGGUCACGAUCAUCUUGCCUGUGAUUUCUUCACGGUGGAACUGAUCCUGAUCUUCCUGCACGAACUCACCGGACUCUUCGAACUCGUUUCCAGUCCCAGUAGCUAAACAAAAGAAAUCAAGCAGGAAAUAAAUACCAGCAGGAAGAUGAUGCCAUAGACAUAAUGAUGCAAGCAAGCACAACCUCUAACCAUGCACAUGAACCACCCUACACCGAUAAAACUAUUGCCACCUCACCACAAGGGGACUUUCUACAUAAAUGCUCAAAAUCAGAAACCAACAACACCAUUGGAUUCAUUGGGAUUUUCUACCCCAAAUCCAUAUAUCAUACUGCCCAUGUUGCAUUCAGAAAAACACCACAAUCAAUGAAAGCAAAUCUAGCACAGAUCAAACUACAACAAAACCAUAACCAGGGCUGUCCUUGGGCCUGCUCAAUUUGGCAAGUCCAUAUCUAGACAUUUCUAGAAAUGGAAAUGUGCCCUAUUUAGCACAAGAAAUUCACAAAAAAAAUACCAGGGAAAAAUAUGAUGAGGAGGGGGACCCACCUGACAGUGGCCAUCACUGGAUGACAUGUGGGCCCGUGUGGCCCACUAUCAUACACACACACAACAACUACACACAUGAAUUAAAAAGAGCACAGGGGGGAUUCGAACCCUCCACCUCCCUCGUGGAGCUAGCUACCCCCACCACUGGUUAGCUACUGCUAGCUGCUCUAACAGAGGCAUACGGCAAGGUAAGCUACUCUGCACGUAACGAAUUCCACCGAAAAACAAAAGGGCACGCCUGGGGGGAUCGAACCCACGACACAUAGGGUAACAGCGCAAGCACCUGACCACUGCACUACUCACACGGAUCUGAACAAAGAGGGGGUCUUGCUCUUUUGAACAAUUCCCUCUGCAAGCACACUACCACACCACGACCGAAAACAGAGGCGAUCGCCGGCGAACACACGGGUCAUCAACGGCGGGGAUGGCCACCGACGGGGGAUGCGGAGUUUCUCGGGAUUCCGUUCCCGAAGCAAACACAGCGACAGGGGGACUUGCUGCUACGGUGUGUCUACUUCUACUGAAGCUGGCACUGCAAGCUACUGAACCUGCUGCUACUGAUACCGCAAGCUGUUGAUGUCGCGGCAACUGAAGCUCCUUGACAGAGCAACGCCGGCGCCAAAAGGGAGAUGCCCCGCGCUAAGAAGUUGUUGCGUGCUGCGCUACAACUACUGAUGUGCACUAGAACUCCUCUACAGCAUGCCGCUGCUGCUACUACGCGCGACUGAAGCUGCUGCUACUACCAGCACACUACUGCUACUCGAGAACAGAGCCACGGUGAGCUACACGCAACGGCGGGCCUCGGCCAAAGUGGGAAACAAUAGAGGAGGAGAGUGAGACUUCGCUCACCUAGCGGCACAGAGCCUAUCCGACGCUGGAGAGGAAGGCCACGACGGGAGGUGUAGGAGGUGUUCGACGGAGAGGAAGAAGAGCCGCUCGUUGUCGACAACGUGGAAGCAGCUCCUGGAGCCGAUCUCUUCACGAAAAUGGAACCUCCCGAAUGUCCUCUUGCUCCUGGUGCUGACGGAGAGGAAGAAGAGGCCGAUCUGCUGCCAGCGUCGAGCUCACCGGAGCCCUCUCAUGGCGAUGGUGUUCCUGGAUCCCAUCUAACGGCGCGAGGGGAAGAGGAG